rnacentral:rRNA from 1 species
GUAGGGAAUAUUGCGCAAUGGACGAAAGUCUGACGCAGCGACGCCGCGUGAGUGAUGAAGGCCUUAGGGUCGUAAAGCUCUGUUGAAUGGGAAGAAAAAAAUGACGGUACCAUUCGAGGAAGGACCGGCUAACUUCGUGCCAGCAGCCGCGGUAAUACGAGGGGUCCUAGCGUUGUUCGGAAUCAUUGGGCGUAAAGGGUGUGUAGGUGGCCAUGUAAGUCAGGUGUGAAAGCCCCGGGCUCAACCCGGGAAGUGCACUUGAUACUGCGUGGCUUGAGUACCGAAGAGGGUAGUGGAAUUCCAGGUGUAGUGGUGAAAUACGUAGAUAUCUGGAGGAACACCGGUGGCGAAGGCGGCUACCUGGUCGAGUACUGACACUGAGACACGAAAGCAUGGGGAUCAAACAGGAUUAGAAACCCUGGAGUCC